CGUGUAGGCGGCUUGGCCAGUCGAGUGUGAAAUCCCAGGGCUCAACCCUGGAACUGCACCCGAAACUGCCUGGCUAGAGUCCCGGAGAGGGUGGCGGAAUUUCCGGUGUAGAGGUGAAAUUCGUAGAUAUCGGAAGGAACACCAGUGGCGAAGGCGGCCACCUGGACGGUGACUGACGCUGAGACGCGAAAGCGUGGGGAGCAAACA
rnacentral:rRNA from 1 species